rnacentral:rRNA from 1 species
UAAGGAGGGGGCGAGAGUUGUUCGGAAUUACUGGGCGUAAAGCGCACGUAGGCGGAUCAGAAAGUCAGAGGUGAAAUGCCGGGGCUCAACCUUGGAACUGCCUUUGAAACUCCUGGUCUUGAGGUCGAGAGAGGUGAGUGGAAUUCCGAGUGUAGAGGUGAAAUUCGUAGAUAUUCGGAGGAACACCAGUUGCGAAGGCGGCUCACUGGCUCGAUACUGACGCUGAGGUGCGAAAGCGUGGGGAGCAAACAGG